rnacentral:lncRNA from 1 species
UGACAGUCGCUGCACUCACCUUUUCUAGGACAUGUUAGGGAGGCUGGGGCGGGGGAGGGGGGCAGCGAGACUCCCGCCGCCUCCGCCGCUGCCGCCGCUACCAGCAAGUCCAAUACUGGCUGAUCGGCAAUGAGGAUGGAGAGGAUAGCAAUCCCGGCAGUCGCCCUACUGACGGUAAAAGCUUUUCACCAUCCGACUGUUCUUUCCUUUGCCACAGUGCCUUGUGGCAAUGUAGAAGGUGGAGUCCCUCCUAGCUGCAUCUCUGAAUGAAGAUAUUCUGGACCAGUGUCCCCAGCUCCCUGGUUACUGGUGAGACACCUCUGCUUCUAGGAAUCCCAACAUACAACAUGGCUACUGACCUCCUCAGUUGAUAUCUUCAAAUCCAGGGGAAGUGACUUGUUAGACCUGUGAGAGUAAAAACCCAGCUGUCCUGGAGGCCACAGCGAUGAAAGGAAGCAACAACAGCUUUAAAAGAUACAUAUCUCCGCAUUUGGACUAGUGCUAACUCCUAAAAGUAUUAAUUAGGUGGUUAUUAAGUGGCGUACUAGUUACCCUUCUCAUUGUGGUAUGAAGGACCUGACAAAACCAUUUUAUGGAAAGAAUGUUUUUCUUGGCUCACAGUUCCAGGCUACAGUCUGUCAUGGGGACAGCAUGGCAACAGGAGCCCGGGCUCCUGAUUCCAUUGCUUCUGCAGCUAGGAAGCCAAGAACUGUAGCCCACAGUAUGGUGCCCCCAUAUUUAGAGCGAUGCUUUCCACCUCAGUUAACACAAUUGUUUUAGCGAGGAGGCUGUCUUAAAUUGUCCUUAGUGUACAUAGUCUUUAUUUAUCAAGCUCAGGCACUCUAUUUGCUAUUUCUCACUAUAUCAACCUCCCCUCCCCCAAAUCAAAGAUAAAUUUCAGUCUUUCAAUUUCCCAGGUCAAACUUCAGCCCAUUUCAAGACUCCUGCUCAAUGUCCACGACCCACUUGAGACCUCCUUAAAAUGUAUGCUGUCUUUUUGUGCUUUACUCUCUGUGUGAUGGGUAAGGGGAUAUUCUUUUAGAAAGAACAAAGAAUUGUGUGUCCAAAAUUAAACAUAGAAAUUAAUUUUUAUUUGUAUUGGGGGGAAAAGGAAUGAAAGCUGCCAGAUACCACAAAUGUUAGAAAUUCCAUAAAAUUACCAGAGUAGUUUUCUUGCUUCACUAUCCAAUAUUUUGCAGCAUCCUUUUUCAGCUACAUAGGUAUUGAUGAUCUUUUGGUAAGCCAAACAGUAUGUAAUAUUUUCUGUAGAGAGAUUAGAAAGACAACCAAUUCAUUGUUGGUAAUGUAAUGUAAAUUAUUCUCAAUUUUUUCUUAAAUAAACUGCUUUAGACCUACUGUAAUAUUGGACUAAUAGCUUAUAUUGUAUAAAUCUAGGCACUCUGAUGAAUUUUACUUUCUAUAAUUCCAA